UCCUCUCUUCCUUCACGCCCCUUCCUCUUAUUUGCGCGCGCCGCUCGCUUGUGUGCGAUAGCUCAUCAGCUGGUACUGGUAUAUGGUACGGUUGUAGUUGUAUCUUGAAUUGGCGAUUGGUACAUAUAUAUGUAGUGUAUUUGGUUUUACCUGUGACCUUGACGAUGCGAGAUCCGAUCAAUUCUGGUGUUGAAGCAAUAUUUGUGCUAUGCUGGUUGUUGCCAUUCCGUGCCGUUUCUGAUGUGGCCAUUUGAUCGCCAUGUCGAUCAACGGUUAUGAAGCCAAUUUCAAACGAGCGAAGGUGAAGGAAUAGUUCCGUACCGGAUUUUUUUUUAUCAUGUCUGAUACUCCAAUACUGAUCUCGACCCGAUAUUUUCCCGAAAAUUGACCCAUACUUCAAUACCAUUUAACUAUUUUAAUUGAUUCCUCAUACCAGUGGCGGAUCUAACGAUAGGCGGACUAGGCGGUCGCCUGGGGCCCCGCCGAUUCAGGGGCCUCGUAGAUCGCUAGUUUAUAGUAUGCCGUAUGGACAGAGUACUAGCUACUAGCCCCCGGAAGGAUGGAAGUUGGGGCCCCGAGGCUGGCGAAGCUUCUAUUAACUGCUUCUUUCCAUUUUCCCUUCUCUUCUUCUUCUAUUUGUCGUAUACCUGGUCAUGCCAGCCAAUGCAAGCUUUAGCGUCUUUUUAGUACCACACACCCGGCUGGCCAGUCCUUACUACGAGGGGACGGUCUAUAUUAGGCUUGAACCAAUGACGGGCAUGAUAUUAUCAUCCUAUAUGUAUCCACAUUAAUACAAAAUGUGCGACAAAACAACACAUAAACGUCGUUCAACAGCUCUUUGGUUUAUUUCUUUAACACAUGAUUAUAAAGCCACAUACAUAAGGAAGAAGAAAAAGAAAGCCACAUCCAAAAACACACGCGGGAGGGGGAGGGAGAGAGAACGGCCACACUCGGUUCCGUGUCAAGAUCCUCUCUGCGGACAUCACACGCUGACAGUGCCUCUUUCAACGGUGAGCCCUCAGGAUCGGGCCGUGAUCUGUGCACAUCCAUUUGAACGUGUCACCAACUGAUAAUAAAACAUUAGAAACAGA